CAGUCGCCACGGUAAUACGUAGGUGGCAAGCGUUGUCCGGAAUUAUUGGGCGUAAAGGGCUCGCGGGCGGUUUCUUAAGUCUGAUGUGAAAGCCCCCGGCUCAACCGGGGAGGGUCAUUGGAAACUGGGAAACUUGAGUGCAGAAGAGGAGAGUGGAAUUCCACGUGUAGCGGUGAAAUGCGUAGAGAUGUGGAGGAACACCAGUGGCGAAGGCGACUCUCUGGUCUGUAACUGACGCUGAGGAGCGAAAGCGUGGGGAGCGAACAGGAUUAGAUACCCCAGUAGUCCCUGUCUCUUAUAC
rnacentral:rRNA from 1 species